rnacentral:lncRNA from 1 species
AACACUUCUUAGCAUAGAACAAACCAGCUUUCUAUUAUUACACGAAUACGAUUACAAGGUCUUCGAUAUUACAAUGAAUAACAUUGGCACGGCGACACUACGCCAUCCUCAGUUUCUCUAUGCAAGCAGCAGAACAACUCGAAGCAGCGGAAUAACUCUAGCAGCGGAAAAACUACUGGCAGCGGAACAACGAUGACGGUGGUGAACUCCAAUCCGCAGGGACUCUGGCUAGAACGCUUAUCCUAGCUCACAAACUAAGAAUCCACGGCAAACAAGCAUGCAAUCCAGGCACGACCUGCAAGCUGGCAUGACACGCUGGGUCAGUACAUUGAAUGUACUUGCAAGCUCACAAUAAAUAAGAAUCAAGACAAACAACAACAUGGAAAUUAUAGGUUAAGCAGGAAUUAACAUGAGAUCUUCAUAAUAACAGGACAUGAACAACAUGACAUCCAAAGUAGUACUCCCAAAAUAAUACUAGCUACCAUCAUGAAAAUAAUCAUAAUAGCCACUAAGAAUCCAAAGGCAACAUGAACAUGAUACCGCUACAACAAUAUGAGCAUAACAUGAACAUAUGAAUCUGAUGAUACUAGCAUGCAACAUGAUAACACUACAUGCACCAAUUAUUCUGCUCGGGUUAUCUCGUAACCAUCACAUGCAGCACUUACCAACCUCGGACAUCACACGAUCAUCUCAGGAUCAAAUUAAGCUUGGUAUAAACAAUACCGUAGUAAUCAUUAAAUGACCACAAGGAGCUUGUUCUUUACCCAUGAUUCUCGCACAACAUCACGAAUAUCCAACAACUCGGUAUCCUCGAUACCACCGUGAUCCUUCCGGUGAUUGCAACCACGACCAACACUUGGUCUCAAACCGUGAUCCUUACGGCGAUCACAACCAUGACCAAUAUUUGGCCCGCGAUCCUUACGGCGAUCACAACCAACUUAUCUUAUCUUCGAACCAGGGUUGUUAUUAAUCAAGUUAUUAUUAAUAUUGUUGACUCACGGUGGGACCGACAUGAACUAGGCCCUUAUCCGCGGGUGCGGCUAUCGAUAUAUUAAUAUACACUCUGCAGAGGUUAGCACAUUGUACCCACACCACGUAACCCAUGGCCUCGCACUCCCAUAAGGGUGGACCAACGGCGAUCCGACAAAACCGAUCUAUUGUCGUGACACUCUCCCGGCCACUCCGACCCACUCCCAACUGGGUUACUCCAGGGUGGCCCCGUGUCUACCAAAGACACCCCGACCACCGUCGUGGUCAAACUCCCUCAUGGGGACCGGAUCCAUAAAAACAACAGGCACACAAGGUUAUGUCUGCUUACCGGGCCAGGGUACGCACGCCCAUAACCUUCCCUAGUUGGAGGCACCGGCGAGAUGCAUGACAAUAGACCCAGUUAGGACCUUACCCAUACGGUAAGCGUGGUUGCACUGGUCAGUUUCGAUCUGGCGGCACCAUGACUCAGCCAACAGUUGUUCAAGUUCAAUUAAAUCUGGUUAAACUUGAAUGCAAUAUGCUGAGCCAUGAUAACAUAACAUGAUGCAUUUACAAAGCAUGAGCAUGAUAUCAACAUAAGCACAGGAUGCAACACAACUGUCCAUCAUGUCAACUAUGAAAUAAUCUCAAACUGAACAUGGCAUAAUGACGAGCAUAGAUAUUACAAGUGCAACACUACUCAAAGUAUAACAUAACAUGACCACUAGCAUUAACCAUAAAUAACAGGCAAGAACUUAUCAAUAACAUCACCCAGUAACACUUAACCAACUAACAGCAACGGAACAAUGCCUAUUAAAGUACUCGGUAACCGACGUUAGUCAUGCACCGAAGAGCAUGACCAACCCAACAUGUACUACUAUCAAGCAUGGCAAUAUGAAAGUAAUACUAACAACUAGCUGGGCAUGAUAACCAGGUGCAUAACAACAUAGCAAACAAGUAAGCACAAUCCCAGAAGCAUUUCCGAAACAACGAUAACCAUAUUUUAAACAAGCAAUCAUUUAAUAAAUAUUCAAGUUGAAAACCAUGGCUACUGCAUGACUAUCAUGCAAGUGGGUAUUGUGGCUUGCCUGGGGAUGAAGAAUACUCCGGGAAGAAGUGCGGUGAAGCCGCGGAAAGAUUUACCGGAAACAGUUCUCUCUCGGAGGGGCUGUUUACGUGCAAGGGCAAAAAGGUCAUUUUCACAGUGGCAAACCAUAGUGAAAAUGCAACCAACAGAACAGGUUCGACGAGACGAAGAAAUGGGCUUUGGAAUCACCUCAUUUGGAGUUAUGGUUAAAAAGAUAUGAGGUGUUUUCUGCUAGGGACCCAUGUGUAAUGAAAAACUUCAAAAUCUGGGCUUGGACAGAAAAGCAGAAAGCGCAAUCAGCGAAAUACACUUUCACUGAACUGAAAACGCAUUCGGGGCUGAAGAAGAAAGGGAAUACGCAUCUUCUAUAAAAAGGUAUUCACCAGAAAAUACGCUUUCAGAAGAUGAAAACGUACUUUUGGGUUGUGCGCUUCCACUUAUCCAGUAAGCAGGGCGGGG